rnacentral:tRNA from 1 species
UUCCCGGUAGCUCAGCUGGUAGAGCGGCGGACUGUCAAUUCGUAGGUCGCUGGUUCAAGCCCAGCCCGGGAAG